GAGUUGGUGGUGGCAGAGACUUAUAAACUGGUGCGGGAUUGAUAUAGCUCCUUGGGUGUGGAGGCGAUAUGUAGACUAGGGUUGGUGGAGGUGGUGACUUGUUGACUGGGUGUGUGGAGGGUAGUAAGGCUCCUUAGUAGUGGUGGCGACUUGUAAACUGUAGUCGGUAGAGGCGGUGACUUGUAGAUUGGGGUAUGAGGAGGGUAGUAUGGCUCCUUAAGUGGUUGUGGUGACUUGUAAACUGGAGUCGGCGAAGGUGGCGACUUAUAGACUGGGUGUUUGGAGGGUAGUAAGGCUCUUUGGGUGGGGGUGGCAACGUAUAAACUUGAGUUAGUGGAAGUGGUGAUUUGUAGACUGGGUGUGUGGGGGAUAGUAUGGCUCCUUAGGUAGUAGUGGUGAUUGGUAAAUAGGAGCCGGUGGAAAUGGCGACUUAUAGACUGGGUGUGUGGAGGGUAGUAAGGCUCUUUUGGUGGGGGUGACGACUUGUAAACUGGAGUUGAUGGAGGUGGCAAUUUGUAGACUGGGGUGUGUGGAGGAUAGUAUGGCUCCUUGGGUGGUGAUGGUGGUGACUAGUAAAGCGGAGUUGAAGGUGAUGGUGAUUUAUAAAGUGGUGCAGGAUGAUAAGGUGUUGGUGAAGGAUGGUAUGGCUCUUUUGGUGAUGGUGGAGAUAAAUAUUGAUAAUUUGCUGAGCUUUGGGAAGCCAAGCAAAGUGACACAAAAACCACUAAAAGAGUGGAAAAUAGAGAGGCCAUUUCUCCCAAAAAGAAACAAAGGAGAGAAGUUGUUGUCCCUUUAAGCUGCACUCAAAGCCCUUUGUAUAGCUUUCAUUUAGAAGGUAUAAGGCUAAAGUUAUGUAUUUUUAAUUAGUUUUGUCAUGUUGUCGGUUCAAUUUGACCUUUGUUGGUAUACUUUUUUUUUUUUGUUGGAUAGAAGGUGCAAGCUAAGCAAAGAAAUUAACUACUAUGGCAGCUAUACUAUUUAUGAUGCAAUAAUUCAAAAAAAAAUACGUGGAUCCCACAACUUCCCACAAGAUUUUAGUUAUAGGAAUCUGAGCACUUUUUUUUUACACUUAGGGUGUGUAUGGUACGAUGGAAAAUAUUUUCUGAAAAAUGUUGGUUGUAGUAAAAAAUAUUUUCUAAGAUAAUUCAUUUUUUCCUAUUUGAGGGAAAAUGACUUCCCUCAUGGACCAAGGGAAGUUAUUUUUCGGAAAAUGAUAAAUGUGACUUAUGCCCCCAUCCUCACCCCUCUUCCCACCCCAACAACACUCAUAUUCACAUAACUCAAAAAAUUCACAUUUUUAAAAAAUUUAUUUUACUCAAAAUAUUUUUCACUGUGCUUUGCUUCAAUUUUUCACUGCUUGAAAUAAAAAAUAGUGAAGCCCGACUUUUUUUCAUUUCCAAUGUUCGUUGAAUGUAUUGUUAUUUUCAUAUGCAUAGAGGAAGACUUACCUAUGUUACUUUUGCUAAUUGCAUAUUUUAUUUUGUCAUCGAUGUUACUUCUUUCACGAGGUUGAAUAAGCUUAUCGUCCCGUUAUAUUUCUAUUGAUUGUAGUAUCUUGAGAUUGUCCUGAAAAAAUGUUGAAAAGUGUCUCCUAUAUUUGCUAAUUAAUAGUUGCUUAAAUUUAGUGAUUGUAAUAUUUUAGUAUUCGAUAUUGAUAUUAUUUAUUAUGCUUAAAUUAGUUCUUACAAAUUGUUGAGUUGCUAGAUGCACUGAUAUACUAGUUAACAGUUAGUAGUAUUUUCUAAAAAAAAAAAUUUCACUCACCAAUCAAACACUAGAAAAUAUUUUUCUAAAAAAUAUUUUCUACUCACCAACCAAACACCAUAAAAUAUUUUUCGAAAAUAUUUUUCACUCACCAACCAAACAUGAGAAAAUAAAUAGAAAACCAACUUAUUUUCCAAGAAAACAUUUUUCAUGAAAAAUAUUUUCCAUCGUACCAAACACACCCUUAGUAUUUGAAGAAUUCAAUUCUUGUGGAUUCUGACAGCUUAACUAACCUUCACUUAAGUGCUGAGAAAUUUAAAACAAUAUGUAUACAGUAUCAUAUAUUCUUUAAAAGAAAUGAUAUGUCAUUGUUAAAAGAGUUUAAUCUAGAGAAAACUGUGCAUGUGACUCGCUUUCAUUACCAACUAAAUCAAUUAUGUUCUUUCCUUUUGUGUAGUAGAGCUAAAAGAAACAUCAACCGAUUAUUUUGUAGCUCAAUGUUGAAAACUUAUGUGGUUCAAUAUGAUAUCUCUGAAAAUUUUACAGCUUGUUUGAUAGCUGCUGCCUAAUAAUGUAUUGUAUCGUGUUGCUAGUUUAAAUAUAAUGUGUAUUUUGAUUGUUUCUUAAAUUUUACUGUAUCAUUAAAUCUAUAACUAGAUAGCAAUAAAAAGUCUCAUUUGGUGUAACGACCUAUUUGAUGUGAUCGCGUUGUUACCUUUUUUCCCCUUUUUAUUUAUUAUUUAAUUAUCUUAAUGCUCCUUUAUCCUAUAUUUUUAUAGUAACUCUACCUCACAUUUUUCUAUUUUCCUUCUAGGCUUAUCCUUGAACUGUUAUAUGAAGGAUGCAAUGUAAUGACGAAAAAGGUAUAAUAAAUCCAAAUAUCGUAACAUUCACUAAAAUAAUAAAGUACAUACAAUACAACAUGAUACUUUAUGAAACAAUAUCAUUCCAAGUUAAGGACUUGAUUAGAAUGUGCAUGUUAAGUGUCUGAUGGGUUACUUAAGUAUAAAGUUCAAGUCCAUAUAAAAAGAUAAACCCUAAUUAUAAUGCCUUCAUCAUGGCUGGUCGACAGUAGUCUACUACUGAAUUUCCUCCUUUGAACCCAAAUUCUAUUGUGAAUAUCCAAACCCUACCGUUGGAUAAAUCUUUUGUUGAAUCAAUCAGUACAACAAAGUUGGACACCGUCUCUCGCAAAGAGGUGGUCAUGGUGGAAGGAAUCCCGAAUGUCACACUGAAAAAAGUGGAUACAGUGAAUAAAAUGGAGAAUUUGCAAUUUGUUGUCAUAGGUAAAUUCACUUAAGAAUGGACGGGUAUAGAAGAAUUAAGGAAUAUUAUCCCACAGCAAUGCAACAUUAAUGGUGAUUGUCAAAUUGGAGUAUUCAGAAAUAAACAUAUUUUCAUUCGUUAGACACAGGAGUCGGAUUUUAUUAAUAUCAUCAUCUCAAAGGGAGCUUUUUCCUUGCACUGUAAGGAUGGGUUCUCUUAUUUGAUGCGAACACUCUCACACUUAUCUAUGAUCCCCUUUUCAAAGAAACUUUAGAGACUACAAAGACUUUCGCAUGGAUUUCUUUCCCAAAUCUAUUGCCUACCUAUUAUGUCAAGGAAUGUUUGUUUUCUUUAGCUGCAACAGUGGGAAAGCCUGUCCAACUUGAUCUAGCCACCAUUAAUAGGACUAGACCAAGUUGUGCAAGGAUUAAGGUCUUGGUUGAUCUAAAAGCUGAUUUCUCUAAAUCAGUCCGGAUGGAUAUUGAAAAUGAAGAGUCAGGUAAAUGCAGGACAAUAGUGAAGCGGAUUAAAUUCGACCAUAUUCCUAAGUAUUGUCAUGAAUGCAAUAUGCAAGUUCAUGCUAAGAAUCAAUGUAGAAACUUAGGCACCCCAGAGGAUGCAACAAUGGCAGUAACAGUGGAUAAUAAGGAAUAAAAGAGGCCAGUACAACAUCUUCCUAAAUUCACAAUGCCUUUUGUACACAAAUUUCAAAACGGAAAAGCAUGAGUUCUUUCGAGUGGGAUUGUAGUUGGAGAUCCUACUAACUGGAUGGUUAUUAAAAAUGAUAAGAGGAUAGUUAAUACUUCCCAACAGCCUCUUUUAAUGAUAUAGUUAAUACUUCCCAACAGCCUCUUUCAAUGACAAAUAACCAAUUUGCUGCUCUAGCUACCGACGACAAAGAACCUGCUGAAUUAAACAUUUCGACAAAGGAGAGUUCAAACCUUAAGGCAUGUACGGAUGUGUUCCAAAUAAUAAGGAAAAUGAAAAAGUUAAUCUGUGGUCCAAUAAAGAAUCUGCUAAAGAGUGGGUAUCAAGGGAUUUUGGCAAGCUAGGUGAAGUUCCCAAUUCUGUAAUACCUGUACAGCAACAAGGCAGUCAGCAACUAAGUAAUCAACAACAAAGGCAAGAUAGAGAUAAUAAUGCUAAAGAGAAUAAUAAAGAUGGUAAUGGGAUGGAGAAUGAUAUGCAGGUUAAAUCUUUAAUAAAUCAGGAGCAUAAUAUUGAUGAUGGUCAGCAACAAUGCCUCAUAGUCAAAAAGGACAAUCUGCAAUCUAUAGAAGAUGUGCAACCAGAUACCAAGCAAUAGUCAAUGCAGAUUAAUCAAGAUUUUUACAGUGGAAGCUAUGAUAAUGGAGAUAGGUCAGUUGAGGAAAGUGUGGGGAUAACAGUUGUGAUGCAAGGGGAACAAAAUGUGUGUUUAGAAAUAAUGGAGAUUCCAAAACCAGUGCAGAUAGAUGAAUCAUUUAUCGUUACCAAGAGUUCUCCCAACAAAGUAAUACAUGACAUUGUCUCUCAUAGUUUAGGGUACAUUAAAUGCAGUAAUCAAACUCACAUGGCCAAAGGAGUUAAAGAAGUAGAUGUAGAAGAUGAUUCGAAGGAUCAUGCUCCAUCGGAAGCUGAUUUAUCACCAAGACUGAUGAAAAUCUCUAAAAAAGGAUAAAAAAGAAUGUGGAUGGGAGAAAACUCACAACCUACCAGAGUUCAUCCUAAGCGAUCCAAAUCUGCCCUAAAUUAUCAAUGAAAGCACUUAUUUGGAACAUUAGGUCUGUGAAGACACAACAAGAUUUCAAAGACUUCAGAUGCUUAAUAAUUAUCAUAAGUUCACCGGUUUCAGUUUGUUAGAGCCUUUUCAGAAUGUUAGAUAUAAGAGAAGAUUGAAAAUGCAUAGGGCUAUGUCAAACUGCAAUAGCAAGAUUUGGUUUUUCUCCUCUCAAGAUGUGAUAACAACUGUUAUUAAAGACACUGAUCAUCAGCUACAGUUCACUUGCAGGAGUAGGCUCAGAGCUUAGAUUUAUUACUCUUGUUUAUGCAAAGUGUUCUAAAGAGGAGAGAUUAAUCUUAUGGAAGGAUAUUUAUCAAGUUGCUUCUGGAAUUUCAAAACCUUGGAUGCUAGGAGGAGAUUUAAUGUUGUUUUGAAUUCUGAAGAGAAAAUUGGUGGCCUUCCAAUUCUUGAUGCAGGCCAUGGGGACUUUCAAUCAUGUAUUUCUUAUUGUGAUUUGAUGGAGAUACCUUUUAAAGAAAGUUCUUUCACUUGGUGGAAUGGUAGAGCAGGUAAUGACUGUAUUUUAGAAAGAUUGGAUAGAAUUUUUACUAAUCAACAACAACAACAACAACAACAACAACAACAACAAACCCAGUGUAUUCCCACCUAGUGGGGUCUGGGGGGGUAAGAUGUACGCAGUCCAUACCUCUACCUCUGCUGAAUUUUUACUAAUCAAGAUUUACAAAAUAAGUUCAAUCACAUGAAGGUAGAACAUCUUGCUACUAGUUCAGAUCAUGCUCCCAUGUUGUUGUAUUGUUAUGACAGAGCUAUCAGUUACAAGAAAUCUUUUAGAUUUCUUAAGUUUUGGACUGAUCAUCCUAAGUUCCUAGAAGUAGUAAGGCAGAAUUGGUGUUCUUCAGGUUCUCAGAGUCCAUUCUUAGAUUUCAAAGCAAAGAUUAAGAGAAUUAAAGUUGCUUUGACAAGAUGGAGUAAAGAGACUUCUGGGGAUAUUUUUAAAUAGUUGAUAAUCAGGGAAGAAAUUGUCAAGAUCAAAGAGAAAUUAUUUGAGGAAUGCCCUACGGCUGAUAACAGCGAAGUGUUGCAAAGAGCUCAGUCCGAGCACAAAAUAUAUCUUCGUUUUGAAGAGAUUUUUUGGCAGCAAAAAGCAGGUUAUGACUGGUUUGAGAAUGGUGACAGAAAUAUUAAAUUUUUUCAUAGCACUGUGAAGGGGAGGAGGAAAAGAUUGAAUUUGAAUAGAAUUCAAAUUAAUCAGGGUAUUUGGCUGGAUAAAGAAGAAAAGAUAGCCGCAGAGGUUGUUAUGUUUUAUCAGGACCAAUUUAGACAAGAACAAGAGGCUAAUGUUUUUUCAUAACUGAAUAAUAUACCUAAGAGUAUUUCUGAUGAGCAAAAUAUUGUUUUAAGUCAGUAAGCUGAUCUUGAAGAAGUUAAAAAGGCACUUUUUAGCUUAAAUGAAUAUAGUGCAAGUGGCCCGGAUGGGUUAACAAGUAGGUUCUAUCAGGUUCGCUGGGAUAUUAUUGGUAAUGAUGUUCUUAAUCUGGUGCAAGAUUUCUUAAAAGGUAAUACUCUUCCCAAAUUCAUUAUUCAUACUAAUUUGGUGUUGCUUCCCAAGAAGGAUUUUAUUCAAUUUUUCUCAGAUUUGAGACCAAUUAGUCUUAAGUAAUUUUAUUAAUAAGAUCAUUUCUAGGAUUGUGCAUGACAAAAGUGAACUUCUUUUGCCUAGACUGAUUUCUUUUAAUCAAUCUAAAUUUGUCAAAGAGAGAAGAAUUAUUAAAAAUUUCCUCCUGACUCAAGAGAUAGUUACUGACAUCAGAAAAAUGGGUAAGCCGGCUAAUGUGGUCUUAAAGCUUGAUAUGACUAAGGCUUAUGAUAGGGUUUCCUGGUUUUUCCUGAUGAAGGUUCUAAGAAAAAUAGGGUUCUCAAAAUUGUUUAUGGACUUGUUUUGGAGAUUAUUGUCUAAUAAUUGGUAUUCUAUACUAAUUAAUGGGCGAUCACACGGCUUUUUUCACUCAACUAGGGGAGUAAAACAAAGAAAUCCUUUAUCUCCAGCUUUCUAUUUGAUGAUGCUCAAUAUGUAGGUUAUGAUAUGCCAAAGUGGAGUUCCAAUAUUAAUCAUCUUGCUUAUGCAGAUGACACUAUUAUAUUCGCUGCAGCUAACAGAUACUCUUUGAGAAAGAUUUUUUCAGUGUUACGGGAAUAUGAAACUCAAUCAGGGCAAAAAGUUAAUAAAGAGAAGAAUGCUUUCUACAUGCAUCAGAAUUCAGCUGCAGUUGAUAAACAAAUGGUGGAAGAUUGUGCGGCUAUUUCUAAAGGCCAAUUUCCUUUGAAAUACCUUGAAUGUCCUAUCACUCAUGCUAGAAAAAGAAAGAGUCAUUAUUCAGAGCUAAUUCAGAAGGUUAAGUCAAAAUUACAGGCUUGAAAAGGUAAUAUUCUCUCAUAUGGGGGGAAAGGAGGUCCUUAUCUCUAGUGUUCUUCAAAGUGUUCCUAUACAUAUCCUUUCUGUUGUUGUCCCUCCUAUUUGUGUAUUGAAGGAGCUUCACAGAAUAUUUGCAAAUUUUUUUGGAGUAAUAAGGCCGAUGGAAGAAACAAACACUGGGCUGCUUGGGUAAAGGUGUUUUUACCAAAACAGAAGGCAGUUUGAGUUUUAGAUCGAUGUUUGAGGUAUCUCAAGCCAUGUAUCCUAAGUUCUGGUGGAAGUUCAGAACUCAAAAUACUACUUGGUCCAACUUUAUAUGAGACAAGUAUUGCAAAAAGCAAAUACCUUCACUAGUUUAAUGGAAAGGUGGCUCGCAAGUAAGGAAGCAUAUGUUGCAAAAUAGGGAUCUAGUGGAGCAAUUCUUGUGGUGGAACCUAAAGGAGGUACUUCUACAGUUUGGUAUGAUAAUUGGACUCAACUUGGUCCUCUUUUCAAACACCAGGUAGAGGUCAUUCUUCUUUUCCAGUGAUGGAUAUUGAGGAAUUCAUGUUGGGCUCAGACUGGGAUUUUGAGAAUAUGCAAUAUCAUUUAUCAGAUAAUGUAGUAGAGCAUGUAAGAUUACAUUUGAGGCUUGUACGACAUCCUGGAGAAGGUGACAAGCCCUGGUGGAUUAAAUUUAGUUCUGGCAAGUUCUCGGUUAAAAGUGCUUGGGAAGAACGGAGGAAAAAAACGUUUGUAAUGAGUCAUUUCAGAAGAUCUGGGUAAAAGAGAUUCCUUUCAAAAUUUCUUACUUUGGUUGGAGAGUUUGGACAAAUAGGAUUCCUGUAGCCUCUGUUUUAGCUAAUUGGAAUCCUAACUUGUCUCCUCUUUAUUCAUAUUGUGUUUCAAGAAAUCAUGGAGCACCUCUUUCUAAAAGGUGAAGUGGUUUAUUUCGGUUUGGAUUUAUUACGCCAAUGCUGCAGGUAUUCUGGGGCCCUGGGUUCAAAUUAAACUAUCCAUAAAGAAGUGGUGGGAUAUAAAUGGUAAUUAAAGACAAAGAUUCAUCUUUCAGGUAGUUCCUACUCUCAUUUUGUGGUUUUUACGGAAAAGAAGGAAUGCAUUAGUUCAUGGAGGUUCAUACUCUACAGCCAAGGUUAUUUGGGAUAUUAAUGGUUUAAUUAAGAAAAUUCUCAGAAAGAAGUUUGGUUAUGAUCAGUUACCAUCUAGUUGGCCUCAAAUAGUUGCUUUUUGACUUAUUUAGACCUACAUUUUUAUCUAGAUGGAUAAGAUGGUAUCCCCCACCUAGGGGAUAGUGGAAAUAUAACACUGAUGGAACCUCGAGAGGUAAUCUAGGUCGAAUUUCAGCUGAUUUUUGUGUACGAAAUCAUGUAGGUGAUCUUGUGUAUGCUAAGGGUUUCUCUAUUCCAGAUUCCACUAAUCUGGUUGUUAAAGUCAUUGCUAUAGGAGUUGGUUUACAUUAUUGCUUAGAAAAUCAAAUUGUCAACAUUAUUGUGGAAUCUGAUUCCCUUGUAGUAGUCAACAUGAUUAAUGGAGUGUGGGAAAUUCCUUAGAGUGUGAUAAUGGAGGUCAACUCCAUUAAAGAUAUGAUGGAUUCUUGUUCAGCAAGAGUACAACACUCCUUAGGAAAGGGAAAUACUCUUGCUGAUUAUUUAGCUAACUUGGUUUUUCAUUUUGCAGGUAACUUUGAAUUCAACAGUUUUCAUGAAAUUCCAAGCGCAGGUAGGAAGAUUAUCAAUCUAGACAAACAAGGCAUUCCACAAAUGAGGAUAAGACAGUGUACAUCAACUAAUUCAACAAGGGAUGGAUCGCUACUGCAGAUUACAAAGUGAAUUUACAAACUCUAUUAGCAGUGACUAGUUACUGGUGAAUUUAGUGCAGUCUGAAUUAGUUUCGUUUGGUUAACAUACCAUGCACCUGUGGGAAUUUUUAGGUGUUACAUAGAGUAUAAACCCAGGACUCACUUAUACUAGUUGCUAAUUUCUAGGUAUAGAGUUUAUAAAAAUCAAGCACAAAUUUAGAGGCAUUUCAUAGUCUCAAAUCUGUUGAUGAGGAGAGGAUGGAGUACCCGGGACCUCAAAUUUAGCGGCGGAAGAUAGACAGGGUAUAAUUAUCAAGCAAUACAAUUCUUUUAUACAGAUUCCACUUCAGAGAAGAACAAAAAUAAUCAUUGCCAACUUAUGGAUUGCAAAGUGUCAAAAUACAAAUUUCAGCAUUUGGAGUAACACAAGAAGGCAAGGAGCAAGAUAAGUAUUAAUGGACAGUAGUGGUGAUUAACAUUCACUAAUACUGAUUGAUUUCUAAGUCAUACAAUUGAAAUGGGGGUUAAGGUGAACCUGUUAGUUCUGGAUCCUUGGUGGUGGUAUCAAUCUCCUUGAGGUUUAUUCCGCUAGGAAAAAGAGAGAACAGUGAAAUCAUUUUUUUCAUUUCACAGAUGAGUUUAGAAUAGAAAAAGGGAGGUGACUUACCAUAUCAUCUGCAAUAAAUAUUUAUUGAUUUGGAGCUGUAGAAAUUUAGUUGAAACCAAUUUCAUGAAGUUUGUAAGAGAUUAAAGUGUCUUAGUGAAAUUUGAUGGAUGUUCCAUGGCAAUAAUGGCUUCCACAACUUAAUGCAACAACCAGAUGAGGUUGGAGUAGCAAAGAUUGAAACCAUAGUUGCCUCUCCGUGAUGUCUUUCAGCUUUGAGUUUUAUCCACACAUUCCUUUUCCUGCUUACAUUUUCUGUUUUUGGUCUUUUCAGAUGUCUGGAUAUAUUUGUUGCUUUUGUUUUGGACCCGGGUCUUGCUUAACUUGGGCCAAUUUGUACAUAUCUUUUCUGCUCCUGAAUAAAUUGGGCUCUGGUCCAUCUUCAAUUAAAAAAAAGGAAAAAUGACAUGGACUGACCAGUUUAAAAAAAGGAAAUUUUGCAUAUAUACCGACAUGUUUACUCUUAAUUACCAAAAAUUUCAACAUUUUUCAAAAUCUCCAAAAAUUCCAACAUUUGACCUCUGAUAAUACAAGUUAAUCACAUUAGAUACAUACUGUUGAUAUAUGUAUCUAAUGUGAUUAACUUGUAUCAUACAUUAGAUAUAUGUAGGGUUACAUUAGAUACAUGUAGGGUUACAUUAAAUACAUGUAGGGUUAACUUGUAUCUCAAAAAUAGUCCCAAAUAUGAAAUGUUGGAAUUUAUGUAAUUUUUCAGAAGUAGGGGGAUUUUUAGAAAUUUUGAAAGUUAUGAUGUUUAUUUAUGUAAUUUUUUGUUAAAAAGAAAAAAAAUAGCCCACACUAUGAAAAUAUGGACAAUUGGAGCCAGUAGACCCAAUUUAUUUCCUGUUUUUUCAGUCAUUUGGCCCAAAACUAUUCUCCUUACACAAUUAAGGGGAUUAAAUACUCUUCACAGUAGGCUACUCUUAAAUCACUUUUCUUUUCAAACUAUACUUUCCCAAAAAAAUGUUCACCUCUAUUAUGUGUCGAUCAAUCUACUGUGUUUUGUGAUAACAAUUGAGUUAGUAGGGCACAUGCAGUCUCUAUACCCAAUUGAUACACUUUUGUACCAUAUUGAUACAUGUUUAUACCCAAUUGAUACUCUUUAUACUACAUUGAUACACUUUUAUACUCAAUUGAUACUCUUUUAUACUAGAUUGAUACACUUUUAUACCACGUCGAUACAGUAUGUAUAUUACAUAAAUACAUCUUUUACAGAGGAAAUUUGUGCAAGCAUAUACAGUAACAAUACCAAAUUAAUACAGUAAAUCAAAAUUAGUAAGUACGAACAUAAUUGAUACUCUUUAAAAUUAUAGUAUUAAUAGUACAUAAAGUAACAAAAAAAAAGAUCAAAUCAUCUUUCCAUCAAUUAUUGUUUUGAUUUAGUUCAUUCUUUCUCCUUAACGCUCUUUUAUAUUUCUAACUUCCUCUUCCUACCUUUAUUUUCUCUUCUUUUUUUCUUUCCUUCAUUACUAAGUUAGUUGUAAACACCCAUAUGAUGAAGUAUGUAUUUACUCUUGAGUUGAUGUCAUAUUUAUCCUACUAAGAAAAAUCACAGGUUCUGUAAGGAAUUGUCUAGACAUGGAGUACAUAUAAAAAUUUAUUCUGCCACUUGAAAAAAACCUGUAAAAAACUAAUUAAAUUCAGAUUUUUUGAGAUUUUAUACAAAAUUUAUGAAAUGAGAAAGGUAAAUUGGAGUAUCGAAAAAAGGUAAAGGAACAAAUAUUUAGGAGUUUGAAUGGAAAGGAAACUGGGAAUGAAAAGAAAAGAAAGAAAGGGAAAGUUACUUCAAGGAUGUUUUUGAUUUUGUUUAAGCGUAUGACAGUGAAGGUUAGUUAGUGGAAUUACUCUGUGUCUAUUUAUGAUGUAUUUAAUUUUGACUGCUAUUUUUUUAUAUUAUUUUAGUUUUAGGUGUUAUUUCUGUCAUUUGCCCAAAAAAAAAAACUUACUAUUUUACUACAAUUCUUGUUGGUAAGAAUACAUUAUUUCUUUUUUUUUUUUAGGGCAAACAACAUAAAUUUCGAGAAUUUGGAGCUUAAUUACAGAAAAUUCUGAUAUUUUGCAUAAUUGUUGAAAAUCUCAAUUUUGGAUCUGUUGAGAUACAUUAUUAGCUUCUGAUACAAUCAAAAAGAUACAUUUUUAACUUUGUAUAGAUAUAUAAUUAGCUUCCGCUACAUAUUUUUUAAAUUUUGCGUUUGUUGAGAUAUAUAAUACAUCCAAUGAAGAUAUAUUUUUUUCUUUGUAAAGAUAUAUAAUUAGCUCCCAGUGCAGUUUUUUUAUUUUUGGGUCUGUCGAGAUACAUAAUAAGCUUUCGAUACAUCCAACGAAGAUAUAUAAUUAAUUGAGCUUUUUGUAGUUAUUUUGUAAGAGUGAAAAUUUUGUAUAAAUAUAAUAAGUUAAGAUGUAUAUUUAUACUAUUUUUCCAUAAUUUGCUUGCGAACCAAAUCGACCACUAAAGAAUUGAAAAGUUAAACAAUUUGUUCCCAAUACAGAACAAACUUUAGCCUAAAAUUUAAUGCUAAAAAUUACUACAAUGAGCUGAGUGGCUGAAAUGGUGCCACUUAAGAAUAAUUUGGUGGAUGAAAUGAAUGAAUUGUUUUGGAGUACAAAUUUUGAUUUAGACAAUCUAUUGAAAUUUAUUAUAGUACUGUUUAUAUUUAGGGGCCAUUUUUCAGGAUCUAUGAAAAAUUUAUAAUGUUGAGUAGAACAUACUAUAAAAGUAAUGUUGGAUAGAGCAUAUCACACAUUAGCACAAUCCUAAUCAAUAAUGAUAGCUAUUCAUCUCUAGUUCACUUUUAUAGUUAAUCAAAGAAUUAUUAACAACGAAAAUUAAUUUUCUUGUUUUGGUUUUCUAUCAUUGAAUCAGCAAUAGUUUGAUAUAAGAACUAUUCAGAACAGACUAAAUUAAAGAGAAAGAUGGAAUACCGUCAAUGAAAAUAAUAGGAUAUGAUAUCUUCAAAGAUAAAGAAGGCAGUGAACUUUUUACACAUAUAAUACGUAUAAUUAUUAAAGAAUAUAAAAGAAAUUAAAAAAAGGACAUACAGUACAUAUAUAAACUGGAAAAGAAGAUCAAUAAUGUAAAAGUUUGAUGUUAACACUGUUCCUUAAUUAAAAUUUCCAUAAUGAUUAUACUCGCUAUUUUCUUUCAUUUGCACAAAUCAAUAUGCUCCUUUCCCCCCUUUUUUUCUCCUGAUCACUCCUUAAAGAACGAGACAUAUAGCAUACAUAGAGAAGAGAGUACUUUGUCUCCCUCAAUAAAUACCUUGAGAAAAAAAUGUAACUCAUUAGUAGUUUCUUGAUUUUGUAAAAUUUUCUUUAUUUAAAAAAGAGUAACAUUGGAAGAAGGUCAUUAGUAUCUUUUUUAUUAUCUAAAACAACAUUUAUUAUCUUUUUUAUUAUCUAAAACAACAUUUAUUAGGAGCAAAAUAAAAAAGCUAAACAACCACUUAUUAGAAACAGAGGGAGUACUAAUUAUCUGAUAGUGUUUUCAGUGUUACGCAUCAUGAACUAAAAGCUUAAUUUAAGAAGCAUUGACUGCUUAAUGAAAUCUUUUAAUUCACAAUGAUAAUAAGGAAAUCCAAUUUGUGUUGUAUCAUUCUAGCCUUUCCAUUUUUUAUGGAGACAAAGCAUUAAUAGACAAAUGGAGAUUGGACAUAUCAAGAUUUCAGUCUCAUCCUGUCAAAUCAUUAAUUGUAAAACCUUCAUGUAUUUCUAUGUUCAGCCUAAGAUAUUAAGGGGUUAAUAUUCUUUCAAAACAUGGAGAGUUUCUGAUAUUGGGAGACAUGGUUGUUUGUCGAAUAUAUUUAUUUCUCAAUAAUUGAAAUAUAUAAUUGUAUUUGAUGUGAAGAAAGUAUUAGUUAAAAUGCAGUUUGGUUCAUUUUGGCUAGGGAUUCCAUCCUUUCCAUGUAUAAAAGUUUUUGAAUGUAAGGAUGAGAAAUCAAGGUAUCUGCUACACUUUUUUUAUAUAUACGUGUAGCGCAUGUAUCGAGAAAUUAGUAAAAGAAAAAAAAAAUUCCUCAGCUAAUUCUCAAUCAACACCAACUCCAUCUUAGGAAAGUGUGGUUGGUUCUGUUCUUCCUCGAAUUCAAUGAAUUUUUGUCAUAUUGUCAUACAUAUAACGAAUAAUAUAUAUAUNNNNNNNNNNNNNNNNNNNNNNNNNNNNNNNNNNNNNNNNNNNNNNNNNNNNNNNNNNNNNNNNNNNNNNNNNNNNNNNNNNNNNNNNNNNNNNNNNNNNNNNNNNNNNNNNNNNNNNNNNNNNNNNNNNNNNNNNNNNNNNNNNNNNNNNNNNNNNNNNNNNNNNNNNNNNNNNNNNUAUGCCUCUUUUCCUCUUUAAAUUUUAAAGUAAUAAUUAAGAAGAAAAAAGAAGAAGAUACUAUUCAAUAAUUUAAUUCUGAUACCAUCAACAUGGAAGACUCCAUUUGCUUCAUCUAACAAUGGACUUUGGCAUUAUAUAAUUAACAAAACAAUUAAUUAUUAGGAUAACUUAAUCACCGACAAAGGUUUCUUACUAUUAUCCUUAUGAGAUUCCACUAGUUAAGCUAAAUAUUUUUAAUCGACGUAAGAGUUAUGAAUGUAUAAACAAGUAGAUCUUAGCUACAUUGACCUAGUCAAUCAUUAUUAUUACCGACAUAUUUAUGCUAUACAAAUAUUUGUCCUAAUGCUAUCUUUUAUUUAUUUUUUUAAUGGAAAAGGGUCAAAAAGAUUCCUGAAUUAUUCGAAGUGGAGCAAAAAUAUCCCUCAUUAGUUUUUUGUCUCAAAAGUAUCCCUCUCUAAUGAAAUAACACCAAGCAUGUCAUGUAGACAAAAUACGUCACUUGAACAGUUCACGUCAGAUCGACCAUCUUUAUUAAAGGUGAAUGCUCCAUUAAAUGAGAGAUUUUCCAUGUGGAUAUUGGCGCCUAGCGUGGACUGUUCAAGUGGCGCUUUUUGUCCACGGACAUACUUAGUAUCAUUCUGUUAGAGAGAUGAAUAGUUUUGAGCCAAAAAUUUAAUGGAGGAAUAGUUGUAAGCAAAAAAAUUAACGAAAGAUAUUUUUACUUUAUUUCAAAUAAUUUAGGAAUAUUUUUAAUCGUUUUUUGCUUUUUUAUGAUUUCUAAGUUGCUUAUAAUUUUUUUAUUACUACAUGAUUAACAAUAUUUUUUUAUUUCCAUAAAUAACAGAGAGUAAACUAAGUUGCACCUUAAUGGUCGAAAAGUAUUCACUAUUUUUUUUAGACUUAAAGAGGUGAUUCUGAUACAUGUCUUAUGAACAAUCAUUACAAAUUUUAUUAUUUUAAAUUUUGUUUUAGAUAAGUCUAUGAUUAAGUUGUUGGUGACCAAUUUAUUCAAUUGAGUGAGGCUGGCAUGUCCAAAGAUUUUAGGACGAAGAAACGGGUUAUUAUGUUAAUUAGGUAGAUUUAUUUUAGGGAGAAAUAAGACAUAUGCUUUAAUUUGUAAAUAUUAAUAAGUAUUUUUCCAUUUAAGCAUAGCUUCUUUUAAAUUUAAAUUAGUAAUCAAACAGUGUUUAGUAGUAUUUUCUACCUUGUUGGCUUUGUCACACAUUUGAGAGAUGCUAAAAAUGUGUAUUAAAAAAAAAAUAAGAUGGAAAGAGAAGCAUACUGGCUCAAAGGUAAAGCCGCUAAAACGUGCUUUAAGGUUCAAAAAUAGUAUUUUUAUUAUAUAAUUAGUCUCUCCUAUGUUUUACAGUUUAUAGUCUAUAUGCAAUAAAUCAAAUUCUAUUAUAUAAUUUUUUAUAUAAAAAUAAAAGUUUCUUUAAAGUUAUUAAAGGAUGUCCAUUUGUUGUAAUAAAAUACAUUGAUUUUGGUUCUCAGAAUCCUAUUGGUACAUAAUAAACUUUGGCUAUUUUAAUUCAAAGUUUUAAAAUAUCAAAUACAAUUCUAUAAUCUUUAACUAAAAAUUUAAAAAUAAGAUUAUUAAACUUCCGAUGAUAUGAUUGUAUAAGAAAAUAAUAAACAUUUUAAAAUGUUAUUGUAACUUUAUAUAAUACAUGUAACAGUAUUUUUCUAGUGAUUAUAAGAAGAAUUUUAUUGAAAAAUCAAACGUAAUUGUAACUUGCGGUAUUGAAAGUAAAAUUUGAUGGCGAGGAAAAUAUGAGUCCAUUCUUAUGUCAUUAAAAUUUAUAAACCUUUUUAUUAAGAUGACUUGAAAAUGGUAUUUAACUAUAUAUAAUUUAUAAUUUUUUAAUUAUCAUAAAUAAAAUAUUUCAUUUUCGUGAUAUUUUAGUUUGGAUUGCUUUCUAUCUAUCAUUAAUGACAAAAUACAUCGUCAGACCCCUUAAAUUGACACCAUUUUUCACUUUGGCAUCUUAAGUGGACAUUGUUCACCUUUGGCAGUUCAAAUAACCAUAAAGUGUAUCAUUUUGACAUCUUUCGACAUCAAUAAAAGUGUGUGUUACACUCACUGUCAACGUGGAUAAAACGGCCAACUGAUUUAUGCCAAUUCAUUUAAAUUGCCACAUCAUUAUUUAUAUUCACAAUUAGUUUUAAAAAAAAUAAAAUCAAAACAUAUGGCAAUUAAUGACAUAAUUAUCUAACUCAUUAAUAUAUAUACAAAAUUAAAUUAAAAGAAUCAAUUAAUUACUGACACGUGACAUUUUUCAAAAUAAUUAUAAAAUUAUUUAUUUUAUUUGGACAACCCUCCACCCACCUCCCACCCCCAAACUCCAAAGUCAUCUUCUCUACCACCAUCUAUCCCCCCGAUACCCCCCACCCUAAAUCAUCUUCUCUAUUUGGCAACACCCCUCUUCCCGUCAUGUUCUCCAUCUCCCUCCCCCCCCACCACCCCCAACCCCUGCCUGAGUCAUCUUAUCCUCUCCAUUUGCCCCUUUGAAAAGAUGAACACUCAAUCAAAGAUUAUAGUAUAUAUGUAUAUCAAAGACCUUGAUUAGUCAUAGCUUGACCUCAAAAAUUAGAAGGCAUUAAAUGACUGUUUUUUUUCUUAACAAAAAAUAAAAAAGAAAUGAUUGACCUUGAAAUAUAUUCAUCAGUAGUAUGUGUGAACCUAUUCUUUGGCAACGCAGUGGUCUUCUUACUACUUCAGUUGCAGUCAUAACAUGUUGACAAAGAUGGUGAUUGCUCAACAACAAAUCACUCGUUGUUGUUAGUGUGUUAGUGUGUUUCGUUAUUCUUGAAAAGUUCAACCUCCAUUAAUGGAAGUUAAGCUAAAGAAAGGUUGUGUGAAGAAGGCAAUGUGAGGAAAUUUUUUGUAAUUAUUUGGUCAAUAAAACAUGUGCCAUUAAUUUAUUGGAUCAAUUUUUACUGAUUUGGCAAUAGAGAUUUUCAAUAGUUUUAAAAAAAAUUUAAAGAUGAAAAAUUACAAAAAUAUCCCUAAAAAUUUAUGAAAAUACUCUUCAAACGCUCCAAAAAGUGAGCAACGUCCACUUGAAGUGCCAAAAUGAAAGAUAGCACCAAGUUGAGGACCGACAAUAUAUUCUUUCUUCAUUAAUUAGUGCAUGUACUACUCCUGUACUCCAUUGGUUUUGAUUUUUUCUUGUUCCUGCACAUUAUUUCUCCUUUUUUACUGUCUAUAUAGUACUAUUUUUUAACUUAGUAUGUUGAAAUUAAUUAUUUUUUAUUUGCAUAUGAAAAAGAAAUACUUAACUAGAUUGAUUCUUAUUCGUAUAUAAAAAGUUAAAAUAGUGAAAUUCAAGAAAAAUAUAUGAAUUUUAUAUUUGGCUUUAGAUGGCUAAUUAUAUUAAGCCGCCCUUGAAGGGACGGUGAAUUGUAAUAUUUUUUGUGGUUGACUAUGAGGCGAGCUAUAAUAUGAAAUCAAAUAAGUAACAUAGUAUAAUUAUGUGCUAAGUAAUGUGUCAUAUGAUAUUUUUCAAUUGAUUUGAAUUCAGUGUGAAUUAUAGUUAGUCCUUCCUUUUGGAUUUUUGUUAAACUGAAAUUUUCAUUUUUAUUACAUAGAGAGAGAAGUUAUAAAAAGGAUGAUUACAACGUGUUGUAACUUUUCAGGACGAAGAACAACAAGUCAUUGUUUUAUUAAAGAGGGAUUGUCCCUUGUCCAUAUCAGCUUUCAAGAAAAUAACAGAACAAAUGUUGAAUCUACUACUAUGAGAAAUUCAUCAUUUGUUUUGUUGGAGUUAGCCAAUGUCUGCUUUCUCCUUCCUAAUCCUAAAAUUAGCCAAACCAACUUUAUCCAACCUAUAAGUCCUUUAUAUUCAUCAUUAAGCUCUUGAAAUUGUUGUUGAGUACAAUGUUGAGGGUGUACUUAAUUUCUAAUCAUACAAUAGCGGUCUUUUUCACUCUUUGUAGUUGAUAUAUUGCCUCACCAAACACUAUUUUCCUCUCUUCGCUCUUUUUAAAUACACAAUAAAUGAAUUAGGAAGUUACAAUGCUUGUUAAGAAUAGCAUAGAGCUUUGGAGAAUGUUUGGACAGGAUGUACAGUUUCUUUUCCUAGAAGGCAUAUAUAGUCUUUGUGUGCUUGAUGUCUUGAAAAAGGAUAGAGAAAGACAAUCCAUACUACAUGAAAAAUAUUGAAUUGAGACAUAAUAUUUAUCAAUGGACAAGUCUGGCAUAGAGUUUAAACGGAUUUGUGAUAGAAUUAACUAAUUUAUAGUGUUGAUUUUAAUUUUUUCAAAAAUAAAUCAUAAAAUAGAUUGCCUAGCUUGACGUGUUAUGUGAUAUUAUGCAUAGAUUAAGUCCAUUGGAGGUUGUCUGAUUAGAGAAUCGGACAAUGCUUAGCAUGGGAAUUUCAUUGAAUAUGGAGCUAAGUGAGACUUUAAUCUCUCAUUUACUUGCUUUUUCAAAAGCAUUAUUUAAAACUGAGAAAUCGCUUCAAACUACUCCUCCACCCCAUUUUAGUUGGGCACAUUCUAUUUUAUACGGUGAUUAAGAAUCAUAAAUUGAAUGAUAAAUUUUACGAUCUUACCCUUUACUCAUAUUAAUGUUAUUCGUUGGGCAUAAGAAUGAACAUUGAAAUUGAAAUUGUUAACAUUUAAUAUAUACUAAAAAUUGUAGGGGAAAAAUAAAAAAAUAAUUAAUUUUAUCCUAAUUUAGUAAGUGGUCUUUUUUGGUGGGCUGAAACGCAUUAAAAAGAAAUAGCGGAGUAUUACAGUAGCACCUGGAUUAACCAGGAUCUACAAAAUUUGAGUUUGAGCUUAUGCCCUCUAAUGAAACAUUACAACACCUUGUUUGCCUAAUGAAACUAGUUCCUAGGAUGUCAGCCCAGGUAGCUUUGCAGCAUACAUUGGAGGAAUUACAAAAGAGUUUCUCUGUCCACAAACUUUCAGUCUUGCUCCUUCCUUAGCUAAUGCAUCCUUCACCAUAUUCUGCUCUUUAUAGCAGUGCUGGAUUUGUGGUCGUCCCAGACUCCUGAUUAGCAACCUGCAUCCAUUAAUUAUGGCAUUAUAGUGGAGGUUUCCCUCUUUGAGCAUAAUAAUAACCUUUUUCGAGUCUACAUUGAUGUCCACGGGAACUAAGGACAUUUCCUCCAUAAUUUUUAGUCCCUUUAGUUGAGCAAAGAGCUCCAUCUGGUUAUUAGUAAUCACAGGGAAAACUUUUUUGAAACCUGUAGUCCAAUUCCCUUCAUUGUCUCUAAUAACCCCUCCAAUACCACCCCUACCAGGAUUUCCCAAACAUGAGCCAUCAGUGUUAAGUUUAAAUCUUUCUUUAGAGGUUGGUUCCCACUUAACACUAAUGUUCAAUAAUCUAUUUGUCACGACCUGAAUCAAGGUCUGGCCGUGAUGGGCAUCCCUAGCCAACCAAGGUCGGAGAUGACCCCUAACCUUACCUCAAGAGCACAUCAGUAAAAACAAACAACAAAAUCCAACCAAGAUAAAAAGAGAAACAUAUGAUUCCAAAAGAAAGUUAAGAGUCAAAACCAACUCCAUAAUAAUAUCCCGACACUGCCUACAAAAGUCUCUAAUCCAAAAAUACCAACUAAGUCAAGACAUGUCCCCGACUAUAACAAAAGAAAUUCAAAAGUUCUGAAAUGAUAAAUGUAACUAAGAAAGAGGCCAAGUCUUUUGAUAGUUCAUAAGUUGGUUGAACUUGUGUUGAACUUAUUGUGGAUUAAAUACAAAUUUUGUACCCAGAAUAACAAUCUUAAGGAAUUUAUUAAUAAUUUUAAUUUUUGAGUUUCUAGAGAUUAAAACUUUUUGCUUUCUACGCUGUUUGAACUUUAUAGUGAUUUGAAGUUAUAAAAACUUCAUCACGGGUUAAUGUUCAUUCAGUUGAUGAUUAGAAGAACAUAAAAGCUUCAACAUUAAACUAGAAAUAAGUUGUUUAAAGUUUUUAAAACUUUAUUCUUAGUAUUUUGACUUACUAAAUUGGUUGUCUUUUUGUCACAGUAAAAAUGAUUAUUGAAAAUCAAGUUAAUGAUGGAAUGGUCAAUGUCACAACAACAAAUAUUGCUACUUAAAAUCGUUCAAAUGCUGCUCCGCCAAGGCACUGACAGAAAAAUCAGAAAGUUUUCUAGUGUGGAUUUUAAAAGAUGGCAGCAGAAGUUGUUCUUUUAUCUGACUACAUUAAAUCUACAAAGGUUCAUCACUGAAAGCAUUUCAGAGUUUUCGAAAGAAAUAUCCAAAAAUAUACUUUAUUACUACAAAAGCUUGAAAGCACUUGAAUUUUUUAUAUAAGAACUACAUACUGAGUGGCUACAACAUGGCAUGUACAAUGUGUACAGCAAUAUGAAGACCUCUAAGGAACUAUGGGUAGCUUUGGAAAAGAAGUACAACAUAGAGAAUGCAUGAAUGAAGAAAUUUAUUAUUGCAAGAUUUGUAGAUUUUAGGUGGUAGACAGUAAUACUGUAGUUACCCAAGUUCAAGAACCGCAAGUCAUCAUUCAUGAUCUCCUCACCAAAGGUAUAAAUUUGUUCUUGAUACUUACAUAGUCUCUGAUGUAGGCUUAAUUGUGAACGAGGCUUAUCAAGUAGCUGCUAUAAUCGAGAAGUUACCACAUUUGUGGAAAGACUUCAAAAACUACUUAAAGCACAAGCACAAGGAGAUGUCUUUCGAAGACCUUAUUGUGAGGUUAAGAAUCGAAGAGGACAAUAAAGCAUCAGAAAAGAGGUCUCGAUGGAAUUUACAAUAAGUAGAGAAAAUAUUGUGGAAGACGACCCCCAAUAAAUUAAAGAGAGAAAGGAAGCGUCAGGACAAUAAGGCAAUCCUCCUAAGAAGAAAUUCAAAGAAAAUUAUUUUAACUGUGACAAAGUUGGCCACAAGUCUUCAGAUUGUCAGGCUCCUAAGAAGGACAAGAAAAGAGGAUCAAGCUAACAUGGUUGAAUCCAAGAUGAUGUGGAGAUCUAUGUGCUAUGCUUUUGGAGUGCAUGUUGGUUGAAAAUCCUAGAGAGUAGUGGAUUAAUUCAGGUGCCACUAGCCACAAUGUGCCAACAAAAAAUUAUUUCCAUUAUAUUUUCUGGCUCAGGCUAAUGAGAACAUAUUCACGGUAACUCUGUUACGGUAAAGAUUGAAGGAAAAUGCAAGAUUUACUUGAAGAUGACAUUGGGCAAGGUGGUGACACUAAACAACGUCCUUUAUGUUUCAAAGUUGCGAAAGAACUUAGUUUCUACUUCACUUCUAACUAAAAAUAGAUUCAAAUAAGAAUUUGUUUCUGACAAAGCUGUAAUUAGUAAGCAAGAAGUGUAUGUAGGUAAAGGUUACUUCAUCGAGGAUUUUUUUAAGAUCAGUGUAAUAAAUGUUGAAAUCAAUAAAAAUUCUGUUUCUUCUUACUUACUUGAGUUAAAUGAAUUAUGGCAUGAACAUUUAGGACAUAUUAAUUACAAAACUUUGCAAAAACUGAUUAAUUUAAAAAUUUUGCCUAACUUUGAGUGUAAUAAAUCAAAUUGUCAAACAUGUGUGGAAUCUAAGUAUGCUAAGCAUCUAUAUAAGUCUGUUGAAAGGAAUUUCAAUCCCUUAGACUUAAUCCACACAAAUAUUUAUGCUAUGAAGUCAAUACCAUCUCAUGGUGAGAAAAAGUAUUUCAUAACUUUUAUUAAUGAUUGCGCUAGAUAUUGUUAUUUUUAUUUGCUAAAUGAUAAGAAUAAAGUAAUAGACGUAUUUUGGUAAUAUAAAACUAAAGUUGAAAACCAGUUGGAUAAAAAGAUCAAAAUAAUAAGAAGUAAUAGGAGUAGAGAGUAUGUAUCUUCUUUUGCAGGGGUAUGUUAGAAAAAAGGAAUUAUCCAUCAAACUAAUUUCCCGUAUUCACCUCAAUCAAAUGGGAUUGUGAAAAGAAAAAUUGAAUGUUAAAGAAAAUAAUAAUUGUCUUACUCAUAAGUUCAGAUAUACCGCAAAACUUGUGGGGGGAAGUUAUCCUUACAGCAAAUCGAAUACUCAAUAGAGUUCCCUAUAAGAAGACACACUCUAUCCUAUAUGAAAAUGAAAAGGAAGGAAACCCAACUUGAAAUAUUUCAAAGUGUGGGAUUGUCUAGCUAAAGUCCAAGUCUAUAUACCUAAAAGGAUAAAAAUAGGACCAAAGAUUGUGGAUUGUGUGUUCAUCGUAUAUGCUACAAGGAGUAAAGCAUUUCAAUAUUUGGUUCAUAAAUUCGAACCAUGAAAAUACGAUAAUCUGAAUCAGAUAAUAUUAAGUUCUUUGAAUACAUUUAUCCGUAUAAAAUUGGACAUGAGAUGUCUAGUGGAGGAUCUAAACAACCUCGAGAUGAACCAAAGGAGAAUGUACUUAAUAAUGAGAAUCAAGGUGUAGUACACGUCAAAUACCGUCAAUUUUCUUUGGAUAAGAUUUUGUAACAUUUCUUCUUGAAAAUGAGCCUUAAAAAUUGAAAGAAACGAUGUCGUCUUCAGACCCAUCCUUUUGGAAAGAGGCAAUCAAUGGUGAUAUAGAUUCAAUCUUGAGCAACCAUACUUAGGAAUUGAUUGAUCUUUCUCCGGUAAAUAAACCUUUAGGUUCUAAAUGGAUCUUCAAAAGGAAAAUAAAAGCUAGUGGUACUUUUGACAAUUAUAAGACAAGACUUGUUGUGAAAGAUUUUAGACAAAAAGAAGGCCUUUAUUAUUUCGAUACAUACUCGCCAAUAACAAGGAUAACGUUCAUUCAGAUGUUGGUUGCGUUGACGACAGUAUAUGAUGUUGAAAUUCAUCAAAUGGAUGUGAAUACAACGUUCUUAAAUAGAGAAUUGAAGGGAGAAAUUUACAUAAAACAACCUAAGGGUUUUGUAGUUUCUGGUAAAGAAAAGAAAUUGUGCAAACUUGUUAAAACACUUUAUGGAUUAAAACAAGCACCCAAAUAGUGGUAUAUAAAAUUUGACCAAACCAUGUUGGCAAACGAUUUCAGGAUAAACGAAUGUGAUAAAUGUGUUUACAUUAAAGACACUCCAAAUCACAAAGUCAUUAUUUGUUUGUAUGUGGAUGACAUGUUGACCAUCAGUAGAGACAUUCUAACAUAAAUGCUAUGAAAUAAAUGCCUGAGGGCAAGUUUGAUUUGAAAGACCUUAGAGUUGCUGACGUAAUCUUAGGGAUAAGAAUUUUUAGAACUCCAUAGGUAUUGGCGUUGUCACAGUCGCAUUACAUUGAAAAGGUGUUUGACAAGUUCAAGCAUUUAGAUUUCAAUAUUGUUGAGACUACAUUAGACAUGAGUUUUGCAUUUCAAAAGAAUGAAGGUGAAAGUAACUCACAGUUGGACUAUGCAAGAGUGUUGAAAAGUUUGGUGUAUAUAUCAUAAAUUGUACGUGAGAAGACAUAGAAUGCACUAUUAGUAAAUUAAGUCGGUAAAAGACUACUCCUAAUCAAACUCAUUGGAUGGAUAUGAAAAAAGUUUUAGGGUAUCUAAAACAUACCCAAGACUAUGUUUUUAUUAUAACAAAUAUCCAGCGUAGAUGAGGUGACUUUUCAAAAUAAUGUAAUUUUUCGUGAACCAUUACUUUCUUUCUGAAGCACCACAUUGUGGCUAUAAAUGCCUGAAUUUUUCCUCUGAUAAAGGUAUGAAGAUUUGAAGGGAAAAACAUUUUCUUUUUCUUCUUAAAACUCUGGUAUGAUCUUCAAACUAUUGAGUGAGUUCGUUGUUCAGAAAAUUUGAGGUACCACUAUUUUUUGAAGAGAAUCAUUUUUCGUAGGGAGGAUAUAUUCCUUUAACCUCGAGUACUUGACUAGAAUAAUUUUUUUAAGGAUACAUCGUGAAUUCAGUGGAUUUGACUCAAUCGUUUCUGUCUUCAUCCCAUUUUCUUAAAGUUGGUUUUAUUAUUUUUCCAGAAAAAUAGUUUGAACAUUAUAUUGAUAGUUCUUCAUUUGUUUGAACUUGUGUUUGAAGUUUUUGAAACUUCAUUUUGAUAGGUUAUAAGUUGUUGAACUUGUGUUGAAGUUAUUGUGGAUUAAAUACAGAUUUUGUACAAAAAAUAAUACGAAAUAGCUGUGAAACCUUGGGGAGCGACCAACUAAAAGAAUUUGCACCGAAGUCGAUCCGAAAUCACUUUCAAAGUAAUGGCUUACCACGACACAAUAUUUUCAGUUCCAUAUUAAUAUUAGAGUAAUUUUUCCAACAAGUGGCAAAGUUUGUUAUUUAACUACAAAAUUUGUUCGUCAACAAAUCCUUGUUUUUCUUUUGUUGGGUAGUAUAUUUUGGUUUUAUCUAAUCAAUCUAUUGACAAGCUAAGCGCCUACGAAAACGAUGUAGAUGUUCUACCUACGGGGGCGGGGGGGUGUCUAUUACAAUUACAAAAAUAAACUGAAUGUUGAGUUUCAGUUCCACUAACACCUUGCAAAAGUGAAUUACCCAUGAAAGAUGGGGGUAUUAUAUCAAAAAAAAAAAACAUAUCUUUUGUUGUUUUCUAAUUUCUAACGAUAUAUUUUUGAUCCAUUGCUUUCCCAUAGUAUGCUAACUUGACAGCCACUUUUUUUUGCUUUUCUAUAUACGUGGAACACUUUUUUUUUCGUCAAAAUGCGAAUCAUAAUUUAAUCCGUCAAUUUUUACUAAAUUGUAAUUGUCUUUUUUUUUUUAUAAACAGAGAUAGCAGGUAACCCAAGAAAAAAAAAUGUCUAGCAGAACAUAUUACGCAUCCUCGAAACUACUAUGACCUAUAAAACUAGAUGAUAAAAAAAUUGGUUUUAUCAUACUGGCACACUUGUAGAUGUUCCAUAAUUCAUGUAAAUUUACUUCAGAUGAAUUGUAGUUUUUGUGUUCAAAUUCAUAUAAAAACGAAAUGAUUUAAGUUUCGUUCUUUGAAUAUCGCCAUACAGAAAUAAAAUAGAACAAGGGGAGUACUUUUCUAGGUCUCUAUUUGAUAUUUUAUCAGUAACAAUUUGAAAAUAGUCAUAACUCAUACACGUAGUAGUAGGUGGAAAUGUUUCUGAUUGAAUUCGGCAUAAAAAUAUUUUUAUGGAAAAAAAGUUUCUUCUAGUUUUGGUUUAUAAGUGGAUCAAUUUUUGUGGAAAAAAAGUUUCUGCUAGUUUUGGUUUCUAAGUGGAUCAUUCCCUAGCGCUCUACUAAAUGAUUUAAUUUUAUAUAAAGAAGAUGAAAUUAUAAGAAAAAAGAGAAAAAAGAAAAAGACUAGAGAUCUAAAGAAGGGAAAACUUAAAGUAUGUGGUAAUAACUUCUUUUAUUCAUCACAUAAUCUCUGCAUUUUGCAAGGAGAUUGAAACUGAGCAAACAUACACAAAGACAUAAAAGUAAAAAUACAAAUAUAAAUAGAGUACAAACAAUAUCACUAAUAACUUAGAGAACAUGAAGCUACAAAAGAACUUCGCCUCCCGUGGGGCUUAUUGUUUACUCUUUUUUCUUCUUUUUGGCAUUGCCUCUCGAAAUGGAAAAUGCCUUUCCUUGAGCUCAACAUUCUGCUUUUCCUGCAUAAGAAUAUAAUAUUGUCAAUGAGAACAUAUAGUAACUGAUUAAUAAACCUAAUAAGUAGGAGAUAGCAUAGGCUUAUAUAUUAAUGCGUUUGCAUGAAGAAAUUGUGCAACUUGUAUUGAUUUGCAUUUAGACAAAUCAUUUUUAAGAAUUUUAGUUUGGCUUAAUUACCUUAGAUUUGAUGUUGUUGUUUCUUAGUGAUGGUAGGGAGGAGGUGGAGACUUGUAAACCGGAGUUGGUGGUGGUGGAGACUUGUAUACUGGUGCAGGAUGGUGUGGUGUUGGUGAAGGAUGGUAUGGAUUCACUGGUGGUGGUGACUUGUAAACGGGUGUUGGUGGUGGUGGAGAUUUGUAUACUGGUGCAGGGUGGUAUGACUUCACUGGUGGUGGUGGUGACUGGUAAACGGGUGUUGGUGGUGGUGGAGACUUAUAAACUGGUGCAGGAUGAUAUGGCUUCACUGGUGAUGGUGGUGACUUGUAAACGGGUGUUGGUGGUGGUGGAGACUUAUAAAUUGGUGUGGGAUGAUAUGGUGUUGGUGGAGGAUAGUAUGGCCUCUUAGGUGGUGGUGGUGACUUGUAAACUGGAGUUGGUGGUGGUGGCGACUUGUACACUGGAGUGUGUGGCGGGUAGUAUGGCUUUUUGGGUGGUGGUGGGGACUUGUAAACUGGAGUUGGGGGUGGUGGAGACUUGUAAACUGGGGUGUGUGGAGGGUAGUGUGGUGGUGACUUGUAAACUGGAGUCGGGGGUGGUGGAGACUUGUAAACUGGGGUGUGUGGAGGAUAAUGUGGCUUCUUUGGUGGUGGUGGGGACUUGUAAACUGGAGUGUGUGGAGGAUAGUGUGGCUUCUUCGGUGGUGGUGGUGACUUGUAAACAGGAGUUGGUGGUGGUGGCGACUUGUGAACUGGUGCGGGAUGAUAAGGUGUUGGUGAAGGGUGGUAUGGCUUCUUAGGUGGUGGUGGAGAUUUGUAAACAG
rnacentral:lncRNA from 1 species